AUUCAGUUUUCCUCAUCAAUAACUAGGGUUAGGAGAUGGUGGCUUCGCCCAGCACGACGCACUCGUUCUGCACAGGACCGACGGCCGGCGGCCGCAGCUAAUUCCUUCUCUCCUCUUCGGCGGCUGGCCCACCGCGCCAACCCAGCACGACGCCCUCGUUCCGCGCAGGGCGGGCGACCGGCGACCGGCGCCGAUAAUUCUUCUGCGGCCUUCUCUCCUCUCCGACGGCUGGCCCUACGCGCCAAUACUCCUCUGAGCAUUCCCCACCGGAUUGGUAUUGGAUCUAGGUCUGAAGGAUGAUGGUUCGCUACCGGGACAGAGUUGUGCCAGUUUUCACAUUUCCAAAAUGGGGCCUAAAUACUGAGGCGGCUAGAGGGGAUCUUGGUUAGGGCCUGUCAGGUUUGCAGAUGUAGUUGGUAUGCGGACCACAAAUUCAAUGGCUGCAACUGCUGAUUGCCCCUAAGUCUAGGGUCCAGAUUUUGGUCUUCAAGAAGUUGGUAAAGUCUAAUUCAUUUGGUAAAUAAGUUUUAUAUUAAUGCAGCAACAGGGAGAUCCUAUCAUUUUAAUUUGACAAUACUGAAUACUGUACACCAUAAUGGUGGUUGUAGGCAUAUUUAUUAGUGUAGAGUUGUUAAAUUAAGGAAACCAUUACUUCUUGUAGACUUGUGUGUAGUACGAUGGGAACAAGAAAUGAGUUGAAAUUGUUUGAGCAUAGCAAAAUUGUAGAAAUGAUUUUAGCCGUCAGUUUUAAUUUGCAAUUGAUUGGUGAAGUGA